GGGGGCCCGAGGAUUCUAGAGAGAGCACAGCCCAGGCACAGUGGGAGUCGCAGUGGCUGCCGCCGUGGCCGCGUAGCCCGAACGCAGAUCGUGGAAGCCGAAGACGCGGCAACGGUGGUCCCUCCAGAUGCCAGGGAAGGUUUGCAGGAAGCCGCUCCCGACACCCUUUGCGCCACCGGAAGCCUCGUUCCCUCAGAUUUCCCCCUCCCUCCCGGACCGACUUCCGGGUGUGGCUGCCGCCCUUCCCCCACCCACGCCGGCGGGAGCCGCCCGUUCGCGCUGCCAGCAGCUUCCGCCUGCUACGGUCCUGGCAAGCACCUCGGGAUCCCAUUCCUUCACAGGGACCCUAGCCAGUUAAAGCUGAUACAUUCCUGUGGGUCAACUAUGCAACUAACUCAGAUUUUGAGCAAACAAAGCUCUCAAGUUGGUGAUCCUCAGGAGUCUCUGCAUUAGUUGGACAGCUCUUCUGGAAUUAUCUUCUAAGUCAACUGUGGGUUGGGUAGGUGGCUCUGCUGAUUUUUCGCUGGACUUCCACAUUUGGGACGAGUUGGCUGUCAUCAGCUCUAGAAAGGGUGUGGCCGUUUUACAUUGGCUGUUUUCCUCACAUUCCUCAAGCAGGUACUGUAAUAAAGAACUGGAGAAAUACAGUCAGAUGGGAAGUAGCCCUUGCUGUCAAGGAGCUUGCCAUCUAAUGGGGGAGACAGGCAAGUAAACCAAAGACUACACAGUGCAGUAUGGUAAGUGCCAUGAUUUUGAUGUGACAGGGCACAGUGGACGACCUUCCAAAUCAAAGCAAGUAACUAGGGGUUGACAAUGGUAAGUAUCAUAGUUGAAGUAUCCUUGAACAAGGUUUCAGGAAGAAGAAGAAGGGAAUUUCAUGCAGGGAAACAGCCAAAGCUCAGUGAGUCAAAAUAUCACAGCAUUCUUGGUAAGCCCAAUUGUUUUUUCUGUUUUGCUAUUUUGGUGGAGAGAAAGGAACACAUAAAGGAAUAACAUGAGAGAAGGCUAUUUGGGGAAGUGUAGUAGUUAAGGUUCUGGCUCAAACAACAACUGCAGCUCAUAAAGUUGACUUUAGUGGAAGGAUACUGGGGUAUCUCAUGGAAUCUUGGGAACUGUUGAAUAACCAGGGAAACUCUGGGAAACUCACUGGUAGGAAUCCAUAAACUGUCCUCCUGGUGGGCUGUAAACAACUCACCCUCUAUGCAUCUCACAUCAAAAUUCCAGUUUCUUGGGAAAACAAGUCUGUUUGCCCAAUUUGGGUCAUAUUUCCACGUCCAUGUUACUCAGGCAUGAUUCAUCUGCAAGUUAUGUGUAUAGAUAUUUUGCUACUGUUCCACCCUUACGCUGUGCUGGGGAGGGAGGUGUCACUGUGAGCUGUGUCGGUGCCUUAAGAGAUAUCUGUUGUGUCUUAUUACUUGGUUGCUUUUCCCCACAUGUACAAUGACAAAAAUGCCUUCAACCUAUUUGAUCCAGCCGUUCCAGUACAACUCCUAUACUUGCCAUCUUUCCAAGCCCAAAGCUAUAGUUCCUCAUGGUCCUGCACUCCAUGGACUAAAUUAUGAUGAAACUGAAACACAAAAAAUUUAGAUUAACUCUUAGGUGACAAAGCCAGGAUUGAAGCUCAUGCGGUCUGGCUCCAGAACAACUCUUCUUCAUAGUUACGUUAUACUGCCCCUGCAUUGUUGGUAUUGAAAAUAACUGAUACCGUGCUUCCAGAAGAUUUUUCUAACAGUGUUUGCAAGCUAUAAAAUAGUGCUUUCACUUAGAAAAGGCUAGACGUGGUGGUUCAUGCCUGUAAUCCCAGCACUUUGAGAGGCCGAGGCACCAUGCUGGGAGAUAAGGAUCCAACAUAAGACAAACAGUGCUGAUGCUUUUGGAAAGCUCAUAUUCAAGCUGGGGAGACAAACAACAUACAAGUGGCUGUAGCUACCUUCUGCAUAUGGAUAUCCAGUUUUCCCAGCACCACUUAUUAAAGAGACUGUCUUUUCUGCAGUGUAUAUUCUUGGCACCGUUGUUGAAAAUGAAUUCAUUGUAGGAGGGCUCUGAGAGAUUUCAUUUCUGUCCUGCUGAUGAAGUCUACGUUCAUUCAGGGCCUGCUGUGGAAGACCAGCCCCAAAGGAGAAGUUUUGCUCUGUUGCCCAGGCUGGAGUGCAGUGGUGCAAUCUCAGCCUACUGCAGCCUCUGCCUCCCAGGUUCAAGCAAUUCUCCUGCCUCAGCCACCUGAGCAGCUGGGAUUACAG
rnacentral:lncRNA from 1 species